AUCAACUUUCGAUGGUAGGAUAGAGGCCUACCAUGGUGGUAACGGGUAACGGGGUGUUAGGGCACGACACCGGAGAGGGAGCCUGAGAAACGGCUACCACAUCCAAGGAUGGCAGCAGGCGCGCAAAUUACCCAAUCCCGACACGGGGAGGUAGUGACAAUAAAUAACAAUACGGGGUUCUUUCGGAUUUCGUAAUUGGAAUGAGUACAAUUUAAAUCUCUUAACGAGGAACAAUUGGAGGGCAAGUCUGGUGCCAGCAGCCGCGGUAAUUCCAGCUCCAAUAGCGUAUAUUAAAGUUGCUGCAGUUAAAAAGCUCGUAGUUGAAUUUCGGGACCAAUAUGUCGGUCGUGCCUCGGUACGUACUGGCAUCGUUGGUUUCUCCCUUCUGACGAACCAUGAUGUCAUUUAUUUGGUGUCGUGGGGAAUCAGGACUGUUACUUUGAAAAAAUUAGAGUGUUUAAAGCAGGCUCACGCUUGAAUACAUUAGCAUGGAAUAAUGAAAUAGGACGUUUGAUUCUAUUUUGUUGGUUUCUAGGAUCGACGUAAUGAUUAAUAGGGAUAGUUGGGGGCAUUAGUAUUCAAUUGUCAGAGGUGAAAUUCUUGGAUUUAUUGAAGACUGACCACUGCGAAAGCAUUUGCCAAGGAUGUUUUCAUUAAUCAAGAACGAAAGUUAGGGGAUCGAAGACGAUCAGAUACCGUCGUAGUCUUAACCAUAAACUAUGCCGACUAGGGAUCGGAUGAUGUUAAUUUUUUAAUGACUCAUUCGGCGCCUUACGGGAAACCAAAGUGUUUGGGUUC
rnacentral:rRNA from 1 species